UACGUAGGGGGCUAGCGUUGUCCGGAAUCAUUGGGCGUAAAGAGCGUGUAGGCGGUCCGGUAAGUCCGCUGUGAAAGUCGGGGGCUCAACCCUCGAAUGCCGGUGGAUACUGUCGGGCUAGAGUGCGGAAGAGGAGAGUGGAAUUCCCGGUGUAGCGGUGAAAUGCGCAGAUAUCGGGAAGAACACCCGUGGCGAAAGCGGCUCUCUGGGACGGUACUGACGCUGAGACGCGAAAGCGUGGGGAGCGAACAGG
rnacentral:rRNA from 1 species